UGACCGGAUCCAGCCGUUCGUCCGGCUGCACCAACAGUUCCGUAGGUGAACCUGCGGAAGGAUCAUUAAAGAGUUAUGAGAAGCCUGCCUUUAAAAGCAUGGCCAUCAUCUCCCACCCAUUGUAAACCUUACCAUUGUUGCUUUGGCAGACCAGCGGGUUCCACCCGCCGCCGGCUUCGGCUGGCGAGAGUUUGCCAGAGUCUAUUCAAACUCGUUUAAUUAGUGAUGUCUGAGAAAAAAUUAAUAGCAAAAAACUUUCAACAACGGAUCUCUUGGUUCUGGCAUCGAUGAAGAACGCAGCGAAAUGCGAUAAGUAAUGUGAAUUGCAGAAUUCAGUGAAUCAUCGAAUCUUUGAACGCACAUUGCGCCCUCUGGUAUUCCGGGGGGCAUGCCUGUUCGAGCGUCAUUACACCUCUCAAGCUCAGCUUGGUAUUGGGUGCCGUCCCCCGGGGCGCAUCUGGAAAUUAGCGGCGGUGCGGCCGGUGAUCAAGCGUAGUAACUACUCCCGCUUUGAGACACCCGGGCGUGCCAGCCGGAUAACACCCAAAUUUUUCAAUGGUUGACCUCGGAUCAGGUAGGGAUACCCGCUGAACUUAAGCAUAUCAAUAAGCGGAGA
rnacentral:rRNA from 1 species